GGAAGUAAAGUCGUAACAAGGUUUCCGUAGGUGAACCUGCGGAAGGAUCAUUGUCACACAUCCUAAUGGAUGCUUGUGCCAACAAGCAGAUCCAGCGAACCAUUCUCCUAUCACUUGAGGGGCUGCAUCGCGAGGUGCAGCUGUCGGCGGUCGGGCCCUUGCUUCAGGGGCCGGAGUCCUUGCUGGGUUCACCGUUGCGGGUGAGCACCGGCCGUCCGACGGGGGCCGCUCUUGGGCCUCGCACACGGGAGAGUGCGGGGGCGGCGUUUCCCACUCCAGCUGUCCCAUCCGGG
rnacentral:misc_RNA from 1 species